CAGGGAUAUUAUGGAGGUAACAGAGGCAAAGAAGCACCACUCUGACAUGGAAAAUAAUUUCCGUUGUCAGAUUAUUCUUGUUUAACUGGGUUUAACUUUAUAGUAGGGUUAAAUGUGGCCUUUGAAGGUUGGUGAGUAACAACAUCUUUUAAAACAUGGUGAAUUCCAACAAGAAAAGACCAAGGCAACAGACGCAUGAGAGUGAGGUAUUUACCUGAGGGCGAUUGAAGUCACCAGCUUAACAGAGCCAUAAGAUUUUGGGCCAAAUGUACC
rnacentral:lncRNA from 1 species